UGGGACGUUAAACCGUUAAACCCCAGAUAUUAUUAUUAUCUAUAGUUUUUCAUGUGCUUGAUAUAAAAACUUUGUUGCGUUUUGUUAAGUCAGUCAUUCAGUAAGUAAGUAAGUAAGGUGUUCCUAUUCUUUUUUAACACAGGGCGGGCGUUUUAAGCGCCACAGGAAGAAAAAAACUAAACAAAAUAUAUUUGUUUGUUCGGGCACUGACGUAGUGUCACGGUGUCACUCGAGCCGAGCCAAGCCAAGCCGUAUUUAAAAUGAAAAAGACUGCAAGAAAACGCGCGCAUUCAAGAUCAGAACGAUGGUACGAUGACGAAUUCAGGGCUCGUUUAAACAUUUACCGUUUGCGCUUACUAAAUAGUGUCAUUUGGGAGAACAACAUCUCACUUUGGGCGAUGCGACAAACCGUAGAAUAUGUGCAAGGGUGAACGACAACGAACCGCAUCCCGCCUGCCAACUGAACCGUCACUCCAGUGCGUGUGCUUCUCGCCUUCGGAAGAACCAUUUUGUUUGCUCCCAGGAGUGCUCCUGGCACACUUUGUCAUUUCCACCCCUGCUGUUCCCGAAUCUCGGAGGUGGUGAAGAGCAAGCUUGUGCGCAAAGGGAAAAUGCACAAUUUACUCGUGUGUCCUGUUGAAAUCUUGAAGAGAUGAAAAAUUCAUGAACAUGGGCUGUCACUGGAGCCGACAUUUCGACAAGUGGACUGGUCUUCUUCAAGGCUCCUACUGCAAAUCUGCACCUGCAGAUUUUUGUACUUAUGGUGUGCCAACAUUAAUUUGAUUGCACUAUGACGCUGUCACAUUUGUCAAACUUCAAUAAAAGUUUUACAUUUUUCUGCUUUGUUAUACAUCUGGGACUUCCUCAAAGGACCCACUCUGAUAAACAUCGAAAGUACCGUGACAGUACCUGUAAA
rnacentral:misc_RNA from 1 species